rnacentral:rRNA from 1 species
UGGGGAAUAUUGGACAAUGGGCGCAAGCCUGAUCCAGCCAUGCCGCGUGAGUGAUGAAGGCCCUAGGGUUGUAAAGCUCUUUCACCGGUGAAGAUAAUGACGGUAACCGGAGAAGAAGCCCCGGCUAACUUCGUGCCAGCAGCCGCGGUAAUACGAAGGGGGCUAGCGUUGUUCGGAUUUACUGGGCGCAAAGCGCACGUAGGCGGACUAUUAAGUCAGGGGUGAAAUCCCGGGGCUCAACCCCGGAACUGCCUUUGAUACUGGUAGUCUUGAGUUCGAGAGAGGUGAGUGGAAUUCCGAGUGUAGAGGUGAAAUUCGUAGAUAUUCGGAGGAACACCAGUGGCGAAGGCGGCUCACUGGCUCGAUACUGACGCUGAGGUGCGAAAGCGUGGGGAGCAAACAGG